rnacentral:rRNA from 1 species
GGCGGACGGGAGAGUAAUGCCUAGGAAAAUGCCCUGAUGUGGGGGAUAACCAUUGGAAACGAUGGCUAAUACCGCAUGAAGCCUACGGGCCAAAGAGGGGGACCUUCGGGCCUCUCGUGUCAGGAUAUGCCUAGGUGGGAUUAGCUAGUUGGUGAGGUUAGGGCUCACCAAGGCACGAUCCCUAGCUGGUCUGAGUGGAUGAUCAGCCACACUGGAACUGAGACACGGUCCAGACUCCUACGGGAGGCAGCAGUGGGGAAUAUUGCACAAUGGGCGCAAGCCUGAUGCAGCCAUGCCGCGUGUAUGAUGAAGGCCUUCGGGUUGUAAAGUACUUUCAGUCGUGAGGAAGGCGGCGUCGUUAAUAGCGGCGUUGUUUGACGUUAGCGACAGAAGAAGCACCGGCUAACUCCGUGCCAGCAGCCGCGGUAAUACGGAGGGUGCGAGCGUUAAUCGGAAUUACUGCGCGUAAAGCGCAUGCACGUGGUUUGUUAAGUCAGAUGUGAAAGCCCGGGGCUCUACCUCGGAUUAGCAUUUGAAACUGCAGACUAGAGUACUGUAGAGGGGGGUAGAAUUUCAGGUGUAGCGGUGAAAUGCGUAGAGAUCUGAAGCAAUACCGGUCGCGAAGGCGGCCCC